rnacentral:lncRNA from 1 species
GCCACACCCAUGCUGCCUGUGCCUCAGCCUCGUGGGACCACAGCUCUCUCUGCAGUGAGAGAGGUGGUGUGUUGGGCAGGAAAACCCACCUUUGCGUGGCUCAGCAGGAUAAUCCUCACCAGCACCACAUUGAUGUGGGCCCCCAACGACUCAUCAUGGUAGAUUUCGUUGACCUGAAAGACAACAGGGAGAUAUGAUCAGGAACCAUGUGCCAAACUCGAUUCUGGCAUCUUGUCCCUAAAGCCCCAGCCCUGGCUGCUACAAACACCUGCCUGGAUUUCUGAAGCGUCCCCCUGAGACACCCCGCCUGCUGGCCCACAGAGUCUUCACUUAGAGCUGAACUUGAACCAGAGAAUUCACUCGCCGCCAUCUCCCACUGAAGCAUGGAGCUCCUUCCAGAAGGAAUGAGAGCUGUUGUCAGAGCAGAAGCCACUCCUGGCUGUUGCUGCUCGGUGGGAAAUGUUACCCGUG